GUAGUGGUCUUGGAGGAUAGUAGAGCCUUGAAGAGCAUUCCAGCAGUCAGUGGACUCUUAGCGUUUCGCAAAGAAAAUCAGUCUUUACAUGUUAGAAGAAACGACGCCUGGAAUACUGUGGCUAUAGAAGAGAACGUAAGUAGUGUAAUUUUUUCCACAUAUUAUUCAUUACAACAUUGUUUUAUCCCGCCUCAAUGUCGCCUUCCUGUAAGGUGAAUUUCCGUGAAAUACCAGACCUCUUAGGAAUUUCGACUUCAUUUUCUAGCCGGGAAUAUAAGCUCGACUUGCAUAUUCCAUCAAUUUAGCAACAGGCAACAUCCCACGUUGGUUAUUGGUAUAGAUUCGGGUGGGUACUACCACUACAAUUCCUUUCACUUUGGCUUGCUUUAAAUAUGGUUUCAUUGCGUACAACUUCAUUAUGAAAAUAACUGCCAUGGCAAGGGAUUCCCUCGAAGUAUUUAAGUGACACUUUGUGAAACAGCUAGAAGCUCGACUAAAUCGCUUCUGAUUUGUUUGGUUCUUGACGAGAGUGAUGAUACCAUUCAAUUAAGAUCAUAUACACGUCUACAGGUGUGUGUACCACAGAAUACCGCAAAAAUUUACAUGUUCCAUAUCUUUUGUCUAAAGUAUAUAAUAUGGUUCCUUCAUAUUUUUUAGUAUAGUCUAUCGAUACAUUUUUUCUUCCUGGGGGUUUUUGGGCAAGAUUUCAUAGACUUAAUUAUUUUUUUUUAAAUGAAUAUUCUGUGGAAAAAAAUCCAAUGUACCACAGAAUACCAGUGCAGAGGUAAGUAUGCAACGAUUUAUCAAAUUGUACGAGGAUUUGGUGUGUCAUCUUGUAUGAUAAUUCUAUGGGAUAUUCCUACCUUAAUUUAGUGAAAGUUAAACACUAAAUCAGUAUACAGAGUACCAGUGGUAUAACCAAAGAAUACCAGGUUUAUCAAUAAUUUUGAAAAAUUCAGUUAUUCAAUGGUAAAAUUUAUUACACUGUGUGAUUCCAGUGUGGUUAUAAUGUUGCAUUGCAUAGAAAAAGUAUUGAUCAACAUAAAUUAUGCUGGUUUGCGAACUUAUUUUUAAACAUUCGGAUUUUAUAGGCAUUAUGCGGAAAAAAGUACCAAAAAUAUAGAAUGUUACUUUUUGUUAAUCCUGAUUAUUUUUAAGAAUUUUUAAGAAAAUAGACAUUUUUUGUUUUUAUAUGUCAAUUAAGACUAAAACUAAUAUAUAAUCACAAAAAUAAAGUUUAUAGCAUAUUUCCUUCAAAUUUUGUAUAAGAAAUAAAUAAGACUGGUAUUCUGUGGUACCGUGGUAUUCUGUGGUACAUACACCUGUAAAGCCAACAUAGUUCCUAGUCCAUCAAUCACCAUGAAAUACAGAAAAAGUCUAAUCAGGUUGCUAAAGAGAUAGGGACAACGAAGAUGGCCUGUUAAUUGGCGCAAUAGCGAUAAGGCGAAUUUGAAUAAAAUAAGAUUAACGUCUUUGUCUUUCAUAUGUAGUCAGCAACUCAAUAACUCGAUGUUGUUGUAGCGCUGUAUUUUUAAUCCUGUUCUCCCUCUAUACUCUUCUCGUCUUCGCUUCUCGGAGCGUUUAAUGUUUUCAAUUACAACAUUCUGAUCCAUGCAGGUCUUUGCAUAGAUCUUUGCAAGGUAAACGUCAUUAUUAUAACAAUGGAUACUGACAUGUGAAUGAGGAGAAAUCCAUGGCUUUUCUACCCCAUAAAUACCUACCAAUGGACCUUUCCCCUUAUAACUAAAAUUUUGAUCUAGACAAAAAUUUCAUCACAGCUUGAAAGAGCAUCACAAAAUUAGUAAUAUUCCAAAGUUUCGUUGCAAAAUGUUGUAAAAUGCGGAUAAUAUAGCCUUGCNNNNNNNNNNNNNNNNNNNNNNNNNNNNNNNNNNNNNNNNNNNNNNNNNNNNNNNNNNNNNNNNNNNNNNNNNNNNNNNNNNNNNNNNAUCACAGCUUGAAAGAGCAUCACAAAAUUAGUAAUAUUCCAAAGUUUCGUUGCAAAAUGUUGUAAAAUGCGGAUAAUAUAGCCUUGCGAAGUUUGCCGUUUUUCAGUCAUUUUGUAUUACGCAUGGGAAAUUGACAACCCAAUCGGGUGUUGGGGCAUCAAUUUCCCGUUUGUAAUACAAAAUGACUGAAAAUUGCAAAUUUCGCAGGGCUAUAUUAUCCGAACUUUACAACAUUUCCCAACGAAACUUCGGAAUAUUACUAAUUUUGUGAUGCUCUUUCAAGCUGUGAUGAAAUUUUUGUCUAGACUUGUCUAGAUCAAAAUUUUAGUUAUAAGGGGAAAGGUCCAUUGAGUGAGGGACAAUUUACAUACUGAACCGACUGGCACGCUAACUAGAAACCACAUUUCCAAACUAACUAAAUGCAAAAGGUACAGGUUAUUAUCCGUCCCUCAGGUUGCUCCAUUUACUGUUAUAGAACAUUUGGAACACUGUUCUGGAACGAUAUAAAAUGGAAUGCACACGAUAUUCUGGAACAGCGUCGAGUUUAUUAUAUACAACGUGCAACCAUUAGUUAUACGCAUAAUAAAGCUAUAAUGAUUCGCUGUUGUUUGUACAUCUACGUAUGCUAUUGCAACGUUUUGACUGGUUGAUUUUGCCCAACCCUUGCUUUCAAAUAGAAUACACGAAAAAACAAUGUACAAUCUAAAUAAUCUACAAAAAGCAAAUGAUCCAAAUGAUCUACAAAAAGCAAAUGAUCUACAAAAAGCAAAUGAUCUACAAAAGCAAAUGAUCCAAAUAAUCCACAAAAAGCAAAUUAUCCACAAAAAGCAAAUGAUCCAAUAAAACGAACCGAUCCAAAUGCACCAGCCAAAAAGCCUGACGAUCCAAAACAAAUAAGUAGCCAAAAUUAUUUUUUUAAAAAACAAAGAACAACACGAAAUGAUAUAAUUCCAUUCUCUCUUAUUGGCGUGACGUCACCCGUGACUUGGUAUAUCGCACUUAAACUCCAUGGUUGGACCCCUACGCAACCAUUUUGCCCCCUCCCCAGUCAAUGUCCCUUUUCUCUAAACUACAAGCAAAGCAUGGAAUUUAGAAAGGAGGUUUGAUAUUCUAGUAACUCAAAUUUGCUUUGUGAAUCUUAUGUCCCGUCCUCUAUCUUUAAUUCAAAAAAUAUACAUUGUGUUGUAAAUAUACAAAGUUGUUAGAUUUUAAACAUUUUCCAGUGGAUUGCAUAUUCCGGACCCUAUAGAUUUGAGUUGUUGGAAGGUUCGGCUAAACAAGGUAGUGGCCACAGGGGAAUAUAGGAAGCAAGGGGCCGCGGCCUCCCAUUCGAUGCAAGAAGUUUUUGAAAUCGUAUAUAUAUUAGCCAGCUCUUUCAUUAAUCACAACAUCUAAAGCGAUCAUUGUCAGUCUCUUCAUUUUUCUAACGUUAAUCCAUUAUUUCCUUGCACGGUUGGGUACAUUCCAUCAGUAUACUGACUUGUAAUAAAUAGUGGUUGCGUGCAAGCAAAUGAUAAGCUCUAUCUUCAUUCGCCCUCGUAUUAAAGUGUCGUUCGAAAACAAGCAAAUAAGUACCUAAUGCAAACUUUAAUUUAAGCAAAAAUGGAAGUAGUAAAUUAUAACAUUUUUUAGUCAUUUUGGUUCAAUAUCUAGUAAUAUAUUUUUUCAGGUAAACGAGCAAUUGGCAAAUAUUAACGAACUGUUAGGACAGUUAUUCUUUGGUAAGUUUUCUGCAUAAUUAUAAAUCAUUAUGUUAAAGAAUGAUUAUCGCGGUAAUCCUUUGCGCGCUUGCAUGCCAGCAGCUUGUUCGGCUAUUUUAGGGUGCCAGGAAAAUAGCGACUUUCGUAUAUUGCAAGUGUAAAUAAAUAAUUCUAAGAAAUGUAUUGCUUGUUUUAAGAACUCUAAUUCUUGGUAAGAAUUUCAAUUCUUAUACUCUGAAAUCUAAUUAAUGUGCGCCUCUUACACAUUUUAAGAAAACAGAUAUUCUUGUCAAGCAUUUAGACGGAUAGUUUGCCUGUUUUUUUACCACUGAACGGCAAAUAUUCCUGAUGAGACUCUUUGCUUAUAUAUUUUAAGAAAACAAAUCAGUCUUGUCGUGAAUAGAAUAUCAACAAGAACUCAACCAAUGACUGUUUUAAGUCAGUAAUUAUUCCUGUAUAGCCAGACGUUUUGCCCGUUUUAAGUAUAUAAAUAUUGUUUCAAGAAAGAAAUUCCUGCUUAGAAAAAUUUUACUUAUUUUAAAAAGUAAAAUUAUUUCUUGUUAAAAAUAUUCUCUUUCGUUUUUCUUAUUUUAAGAAAAAUAUUGCUUAAAAUAAGAAUUUUACAAGAAUUUUUUUUAGGUAAGAAUUCUCAAUUUUGCUGUGUAGGAGUUGUUUCACUAAAUCCGCGAAUAUCCAAACAAUCUUCAUCAUAAAUGAUUCAUUACUCAUGAAAUUCUGGGCAGUGAAUACAUAGCUUAACCUGCUGUUAAACAUUUCAAAAUUUUUAUUAAUGUAAUAAACGACAAAUUGUGUGACGGUGUUUAUGUAUAAAGAAUAUGAGAUGUUGAUUACCACAAAAGAAUCUAUUGGAUUCUCAACGAAGACACAUAGUGAUUUUGUACGGCAAUUGCUUCUGAAUUUUGACGAAGACGAGCCUUUGCAAUUAUCAAUGGAAUCUUCAGGCGAUUGUAAAUACAACAUAUUUGUUAUUUAGGCAAUUAAAAUCUUUAUAUUUUAAAACGUUCUAAAUUCGUUAUCUACGUCCAAUAUGAUCAUAUCUUUUGUAUAUAACACUUUAGAUUGACCCUUGCAUGCAUGCCAUAUGCAAACAUAAAAAACACGCGCAAAGCAUUACCGUGAGACCCAUUUUUUAAAUGAAUAAAAUUAUUAAAAUAUAAUGAAUACACCAUCGCACUUUAGAUGGACCGAAUUGCAAAGCGUUAGCUGAGGAAAGGCCACAUCUACCAACAGGAAUGUACUUUAUCGGAGCACACAGGGUAAGACGACCGAGUGUUUGCGCGCAAAAACUUUAAAAAAUACAAAACAAUUUUAUGGCUCUGCGGGAAACUGUUAUUGGUGACCGUAUGACAUAUUACGAAUGUUAGUGAAGUGUCAAAACAGACGAAAAUUUCCGUAAUCACUAUUCGUUCAAGUUCCGUAUUUAAUUAUCCUCAUAGAUCUCAUAAUAUAGCGGACUGUCAUGAAUAUCGAACACUGAUUGGACCCAAUUUGCAUUAUAAUGACUGCAUGACCACAACAAAAUAGAAAAUGAUUUCCUGCCAAUAUAUUUCAUUUUUUGCCAUAGGCGGCACAUAAAUGCUGUUAAUUUACAUAAAUACUGCAAUACAAAUUGUUAAAGAAAGUCAGAACAUCUCAAUUUAGCGAACUGUAGCUUAUUAAUUAAAGGCAGAAUUAAAGAUAAGCACUGUCCGUGAGAUGCCGGAGUCGCAAGUGCGAUUAUCUCUAAUGCUGUCUAAUUUAUUAAUUACAGUUUGCUACUAUUUGAGAUGUUUUAGAAGGUCCUGUGGAAGAUUAGCGAAAGAUAAACUGGCAUAUUUCCUUGUUAAUUAACCUUCUUUAAAUAAAGUUUUAAUAAAAAAUAAUAAAAAACUUUCUUAAUAAUCAUAUCAAUAUGGUGUUUCCAGUUUAAUUUUUCGUCUAAAGUGACACCGAGGCAUUUGUAGCAAUUUACCCUUGGGACAGGAACAUUGUUAAGAUUGGUAUUCCUUGAGGUGUAUUCUUAAUUUUAUAAGAGGCGCAAUAAACAUACAUUUAAAUUUCUUAGGAUGAAUAUGUAGCUUAUUAUUCUCCAUCCAUUGCGUAACAAUAUUUAGGUCAUAAUUUAUGUUGUCAAUAAGAUCAUUUACAUUGUGUGAUGACGCGUAAAUUUCCGUGUCAUCCGCAUAUAGACCCGGCGUGGUUUUUUGGAGACAUUGUGGUAGGUCAUUGAUGCAAAGCAAAAAUAACAGCGGCCCCAGGAUCGAUUAUGUAUUUAUGUAAAUUAACAGCAUUUGAUGUGCCGCCUAUGUUUUUUGCAAGUUUAUGUAAAUUUCAAAACCUUUUUGAGAAAAAAAGGCGAAAGAAUUGUUAAAUAAAGGGAGCAAAGGCGCCGAAGUUAACUUAACGAAGGUAAGUUUUGUUUUAAAUAUUGAUGUAUUGUUUGCUUUAUAAGCUGAUCGUUGCGCAUAUUCAGUUAAGUAAAAAAGACAGUAUCUAAUUUUAGUGCAUCUUUAUUGAUUCCUUUUUUUAUUAUAUUAAAAUUUUACAUAAAAAAAGCAAACUUAUUUGCAUGCUAGAAUUUGAAAUCAUUUUAUUUCAAUAAAGGCAGUUUAAUUUUAUAAAGAAAUUUUAAAACGUGCUUUUUCAAAAAAACAAAUGCUAAGUACAAACAAAUGCAUUUGUUUUUCAAAAAACAAAUGCAAAAAAAAAAGCAAAUAAAGGUUUAUAAUGACAAAAAAUACAUUGAAUAAUCAGUUUUGUGUGCCAAAUCAAUUGCCAGUUAAAACAGCAAUUUUACAUGUGAUACGAAUAUCACCAGACCGGUGCAGUAAAUUCCCCUGAGGAGUUCCAACAAAGUAAUAAGAAUGCAUGGAAUUACCUUUAUAUGGAGGUUGUGGGAUUCCAAAGACUAAGAUAGAUUUUAUUUACGGUAUUUGCAUUUUCAAGCAAUGUUGACCGAGAUAGCGGCGUUUAAACUUGAACUAACGUUUUAGAAGUGUCGGGAAUUAGCUAUUAAAAACGGCCUAUUAAAACUAUUAAUUAAACUAAUUUGAUAACAGUUACUAUUUUAUCGCAAGUAUUCGUGUAAGUUGAAGUUCAAAUAUUAAAAUGUUUAUUGGAUGGAUAUGCUCUUUUGUUUUUCUUUUUAUACGGUUUUUGGGAAUGCAUGAAAAUUAACUUUUGAAGCCGUUUUGUUUAAAAGAUUUAUUCUAAAUUUUCAAUGGCCGCGGGGAAUCACAUUCUAUUAUAUAACUACUACAGUGAAACACGCAAUUUGAUUGGUCAUGCAAUAGCCGUACGUGCAGGAUCACGCUUUAUAUAAUAACUACAGUGAAACACGCAAUUUGAUUGGUCAACAGCCGUGCAGGAUCAGACAAUCCUGCACGGGAAAUUCUGAACAUAAAUUCUUGGACAUAAUUUUACAAAUAUACUCGCAUUGUAAAGUUUCAUUGUACGAUACCUUUCGACUUUGAAGUAGGUUUCCAAUUAUUGAGACGUUCGUUUAGUUGUAUGAAUAAAUUUCUGAUCAAUAUAUUGCUAUUCAGCAAGUAGCAACCAACGCGUAGCGAUGAAAUUCAUCAGACCAUGGCAUGAAUUUGCGAUCAAAUUCUGUUCACAUAUGUUGUUGUUUUCAAUAGCGUGGAGUAGCGAUUCUCUGAUUGGUUAAUUCACGAAUGUUGUGAGAACUGCACAUUUCAUCAGUAAUUCUAAUCAAGUUAAGCGUUGUUUCACUGUAGUAAUUUUAUAAAACAAUUACCAAAAGGUUUUCCCGUGCAGGAUAGCAUGAUCCAUGCACUUGGGAUGUUGCUCGACUUUCGGAAAGCGUAAAAAUACACUCGCCUACGGCUCGUGUAUUUUUACGCUUUCCGAAAGUCUCGCAACAUCCCGCGUGCAUGGAUCACGCAAUCCUGCACGGAAAACCAUUCGGUAUUCCUUUAAUCCUACACGAGUAAUUAAAAUGCCUAAUUCGCGGGAUUCUCAAAAUGUCAUUCUUUCACAGUAGUUAUUUAUAAAAUAACGUGGGAUGUUGCUCGACUUUCGGAAAGCGUACAAAUCGGCCAAUACACUCGCCUCCGGCAGGAGUAUUUUUACGCUUUCCGAACGUCUCGCGACAUCCCUCGUGCAUGAAUCACGCAAUCCUACCGGGAAAACCAUUCGGUGUUCCUUUAAUGUUUCAUGAAAAAAUAUUGCGUGCCAUUUUUUAUAUUUAACGAAGAUCAAAAUAGUUCAUUAAUGGCUUCAUAUAGGAUCUAAAUAAAUAGGAGAUCCAGUACCAACUCCUGUCAUUGGAUUACUAAGCCACACUUGCCCAUGCAACAUAAAAGUUAUCGAUAUAAUUAUUAAAACCAGUCACUUUUUGUUCUAAACAAAAUCGUCCGCUCCCACAGCUGCCGUUUACACUUAAUCAUCUAUCGGGAUCCACUCUAAGCGAAAAGGUUAAUUAGAUGAUAAUUAAGUCAUUAUUGAUAAUUAAGUCAUUAUAACAUUCUGUUACUGCCAUGUACACUCCGCCCAAAAUUCAGGAAAUCUUUAUAGCGAUUACUUUGCUAUCUAUCAAAAAGGAACAUCAUUUAAACAAACAAUCAACGAUAUAUUUAUAUUCAACAGGUAUAUUGUGACCUGCCUUCAGGAUGGACUCUUGCUGCUCGCUUUUCUAAUAACGAUAGCAAGAAUUGGAUGCAAUAUGCGAACUUUUGGUUUGAUAGAAUGCCUACGUAUGGCGGAACGCUAAAUCCUUCAAACAACCAGGAUAUGAUUUCUGAAGCAUUUUGUAGAAUGCCAGCAAAUGAAUUAAAAAUUACAAGAAGUGAUGAUCCAGCACAUACAGCAUUGCUAGAAACUACUGAUAAUUGCCUCAAUGGAAAAUCAUUUAGACAAUAUGUCACUUCUUUUGGAAACUUUCGUAACGGGGCUCGUUGGACGAGUAAUAAGUGUCUGAGUAGUUGUGCGAUCAAAUACGGUGGACAAUAUAAGAGCACGACCGGAUUUGAAAUGCACAGUUGUGGCGGUAAUCUUCAAAGCAAUAAUUAUAUCGGGUUUUGGUGUCAUUGGGGUGGAGAUGCUGCAGUUAUGAUGAUUGGUGGAGGCGGAAGUGCCUGCGGUAGAGCAGAUCAUGGCAUUGGAAUAUCUGAAG
rnacentral:lncRNA from 1 species